rnacentral:rRNA from 1 species
GAUGAACGCUAGCGGCAGGCUUAAUACAUGCAAGUCGAGGGACAGCACAGGUAGCAAUACUGGGUGGUAACCGGCAAACGGGUGCGGAACACGUACACAACCUUCCUUUAAGUGGGGGAUAGCCCAGAGAAAUUUGGAUUAAUACCCCGUAAUAUAGUUGAAUGGCAUCAUUUGAUUAUUAUAGCUACGGCGCUUAAUGAUGGGUGUGCGGCUGAUUAGAUAGUUGGCGGGAUAACGGCCCACCAAGUCUACGAUCAGUAGCUGAUGUGAGAGCAUGAUCAGCCGAACGGGCACUGAGACACGGGCCCGACUCCUACGGGAGGCAGCAGUAAGGAAUAUUGGUCAAUGGACGCAAGUCUGAACCAGCCAUGCCGCGUGAAGGAUUAAGGUCCUCUGGAUUGUAAACUUCUUUUAUUUGGGACGAAAAAGGGCCUUUCUAGGUCAACUGACGGUACCAGAUGAAUAAGCACCGGCUAACUCCGUGCCAGCAGCCGCAGUAAUAC